GCUGACCCUCACUCAUGGCCUCUCAUCAAAACAUAUCAGCGAUUCCUCAGCCCAUAACCUCAGCUCUCUGCAAAGCCCCUCAUCAUUUCUCCUCUGCGACAGCUCACGACUCUUCGUCCUCCAUCCUACCUCCUUAAUGGGUUCCUUGUCGAUGUCAUGAGUAAAGAAGAUAGCACCUGUACACAUUUGUACUCAAAAUUGGUUCAUGUCAAAUAACAUCUCAAUUUUAGACGACGAGACAAUCUUGGAAUAUAUGGAGUUUUAUGAAGCACUUGAAACAGGUAUGAAUAUUUAUUUUUCAUUACUUUGUUUUUGUUUUUUUUCUCUUGUUUUGUUGCAUGCUUCCUUUCUUAUUUUCCAAUGAGUUCUUGAUUUUAAUUUGUUCUAGAAAAAAGGAAUGGUUACACAUCUAGCAUUGGGGAUUCAUAAACUAUUCAGUCCUAACUUAUCACCUUUUACUAGUGAUGGUAUGUAUGUAACUUUAAUUUUUUAGCACUUCCUUACUAAUUUGAGUUGUAAGAUAUAUAAUUUUGAAUUCAACGAAUAAGAUAUAUAAUUAACUGAUACAUGAAGGAGAUCAUAUGGGAUAG